CGAGAAGGAAGGUAGCUCUGCCAGCGUCUACCCUGGGACAAGCCUUCUGUUCACAUGAUCCCAUUUAAAACUCGCAAAGGCACAAAGCAUCUUGGGAACGGAGGAAAAAGGAAGAAGAGCUUUGCGUGGGGGGUGUGGAAGGGCCUCCUAAAAGCCUUGCCAGGAGACGUGACAUUUAAGGCACACCUUGAAGAAGAAGAACAACAAAAAAUACCGUAUGCUCUGUGCCUGAUUAGAUGAGAAAACUAAACCGAGGAACAGAGAGGUUAAGUGACUGACUCAUCUAAGACCAGGCAUUACCACAUCUACCAAAUGGCAGCAGAGUCAGAACUCAAACCCAGAAAGGAGACUUCUGGCAAGUGUCCCCCACCUCUCAGGACCCCAAUUUGUGUGUGUGUGUUUAUUUUGGUUUUUUGUUUUGUUUUGUUUUUAAAUCCAUAGAUAGAGGGCUCCCAUGACAUACAGAGUUGCCGAGGGCUCAAAACUGAGAUAAUCCCCAUGAAAGGCUCAAGCCGUGCCUGGAACUUGGUUAAGUGUUCGAGGAUUGCAGAUGGCUCUUAUCGUGCCGCCCGGGCGGUGUUAUCUCCGCGCCUCCCCUCCCCCUGCGGCCGCGGCUUCCUCCCCCGCAGUGGCAGCCGGUGACGUGGGAGCCUCCGCUGGCACACUCCGGGUUUAAUUGGAGACGAAGAGAAGAUGCAAGGGGAUGUUCGAGGUCCCUCCCUCCACUCGCAUCAGACCCCCAGGGAGCGUGCGCCGCCUGCCGCCCAGAGAGAGUACUGUUCCGGGACCCCGAGGCUGGUGUUGGGGUGGCAGGUGGAGGAGGUGGGAGAGGUGUGGAGGUGCUGGGUUGAGGGCCGGCAGGAGACACCCGGGUUCUUGGAGGGUUCAAAAUAAGCUCAGUAACAGCCUGCAGCCCUGCUUGACUGCUCGCGCCUCCUCCACCCCACCCCUUGACCCAUAGCGCCUGGGGGGUCCCCGGCUGAGUGCAGUAGCCUGGGGUGCCAGCAGGGGGCGCUCGCGUAGGGGUUCAGGGCGGGCGGGGCAGCUGCGGGGGGCGGGAUCGGGAGGGACCUCCCGGGCGGCAGACGCCUGGCUCAGCCUGCCCAGAUCGCAGCGCACAGCUACCUGUAGCUCUGGACGCAUGUCCCCUUCCGGGACCCAGCACGCCUCCCUCCUAGCCCUGCAUCCAGCCCACUCGCACCCCAGACCCGGACACGUGGGAACCGGCUGACAGCGUGCUUGGCCCGCAGCUGAUGACAUGUAGGGUCACCUCCUGGUCCAGCCUCAGAACCUCGGCAGACUCCUUGCCUGGAAAGUUUGGGACUGUGCGACAUGGCCAAGAGCGGCUCGCUGAGUAUCCGCGUGGUGGAGGGACGAGCACUGCCCGCCAAGGACGUGUCUGGAAGCAGUGACCCCUAUUGUCUGGUGAAAGUGGAUGACCAAGUGGUGGCCAGGACAGCAACCAUCUGGAGGAGCCUGAGCCCCUUUUGGGGGGAGGAGUACACCGUUCACCUUCCAUUGGACUUCCACCACCUGGCCUUCUACGUGCUGGAUGAGGACACCGUUGGACACGAUGACAUCAUUGGGAAGAUCUCAUUGAGCAAAGAGGCGAUCACAGCCGACCCUCGAGGGAUCGACAGCUGGAUCAACCUGAGCCGAGUGGAUCCAGACGCUGAAGUACAGGGUGAGGUCUGCCUGGAUGUGAAGCUAUUGGAGGAUGCUCGGGGCCGCUGCCUCCGCUGCCACGUGAGACAGGCCAGGGACCUGGCCCCCCGGGACAUCUCUGGCACAUCGGACCCAUUUGCCCGUGUGUUCUGGGGCAACCAUAGUUUGGAAACUUCGACCAUCAAGAAGACCCGCUUUCCACACUGGGAUGAGGUGUUGGAGCUGCGGGAGGCUCCGGGGACCACGUCCCCGCUGCGAGUGGAACUCUGGGAUUGGGACAUGGUGGGCAAGAAUGACUUCCUGGGUAUGGUGGAGUUCACCCCACAGACCCUGCAGCAGAAGCCACCUAAUGGCUGGUUCCGGCUCCUGCCCUUUCCUAGAGCUGAGGAUUCUGGGGGGAGCCUGGGUGCCCUGCGGCUGAAGGUGCGCCUCACUGAGGACCGGGUCCUGCCUUCCCAGUACUACCAGCCUCUCAUGGAACUGCUUCUGGAGUCGGUGCAAGGGCCGGCUGAGGAGGACACCACCAGCCCCCUGGCUCUGCUAGAGGAGCUGGCCUCUGGGGACUGUCGUCAGGACCUUGCCACCAAGCUGGUGAAGCUGUUCCUGGGCCGGGGCCUGGCCGGGCCCUUUCUAGAUUAUCUCACAAGGCGUGAGGUGGCUCGAACCAAUGACCCCAACACCCUCUUCCGUUCUAACUCCUUGGCAUCCAAGUCGAUGGAACAGUUCAUGAAGCCCAGGGUGUUCCCUGCCACCCUUAGCCGCUCCGUGUGGCCCCUGCCCUCAGCUCGUGGGCAUGCGCUACCUGCACGAGGUCCUGAGGCCAGUGAUCAGCCGCGUCUUCGAGGAGAAGAAAUAUAUGGAACUGGACCCUUGCAAGAUGGACCUGAACCGCUCUCGGAGGAUCUCCUUCAAGGGCACGCCCACAGAGGAGCAGGUACGGGAGACCAGCCUGGGGCUGCUGACCGGAUACCUAGGGUCCGUUGUGGACGCCAUCGUGAGCUCUACAGGGCGCUGCCCACUUGCCUUGCGCUUGGCCUUUAAGCAGCUCCAGCGGUGUGUGGAGAAGCGCUUCUCUGGGAUAGAGCAUCAGGAUGUGAAGUACCUGGCCAUCAGUGGCUUCCUCUUUCUGCGGUUCUUUGCGCCUGCCAUCCUCACACCGAAACUGUUUGACCUCAGAGACCAGCACGCAGACCCCCAGACCAGCCGUUCCCUGCUGCUGCUCGCCAAGGCUGUGCAGAGCAUUGGGAACCUGGGCCAGCAGCUGGGCCAGGGCAAGGAGCAGUGGCUAGCCCCGCUCCAUCCCUUCCUGCUGCAGAGCAUCUCACGUGUGAGGGACUUCCUGGACCAGCUGGUGGAUGUGGACGAGGAUGAGGAGGCCGGGGGUCCAGCCUGCGCCCUGGUCCAACCCUCAACCAUUGUUCGAGAAGGCUUCCUGCUGAAGCGCAAGGAGGAGCCUGGAGGCCUGGCCACGCGCUUUGCCUUCAAGAAGCGCUACUUCCGGCUGAGUGGGCGGGACCUCUCCUACUCCAAGACUCCGGAGUGGCAGGUUCACACAUCCAUCCCGCUGUCCUGCAUCCGGGCUGUGGAGCAUGUGGACGAGGGUGCCUUUCAACUGCCACACGUCAUGCAGGUGGUGACACAGGAUGGCGCCGGGACGUCACACACCACCUACCUCCAGUGUAAGAACGUGAAUGACCUCAACCAAUGGCUGUCAGCCCUGCGCAAAGCCAGUGCCCCCAACCCGGGCAAGCUGGUUGCCUGCCACCCUGGUGCCUUCCGCAGCGGGCGCUGGACCUGCUGCCUCCAGGCUGAGCGCUCAGCUGCUGGUUGUAGCCGCACACACUCAGCCAUCACACUGGGAGACUGGAGUGACCCACUGGAUCCUGACGCCGAGGCCCAGGCAGUGUAUCGCCAGCUGCUCCUGGGGCGGGACCAGCUCAGGCUGAAACUGCUGGAGGAUUCCAGCCUGGACACAGAAGUGGACCCUGGGAGGGACUCCAGUGCCACAGACGGGCCCUGUGCUGAGGUUCUGGCCCAGCAGAGAGCAGCCACAACCCACCUGCUGCAGGUACUUGAAGACUUGGAGCAAGCCCACGAGGAGUUCCAGAAACGGGGAUAGGAGCAAGUGGCCCUCUAGGAUGCUGGAUGCUGAGAAAGUGCCAGAGCCAGCUGGGGACAGAGCCAUGGGGCCUCCCUGAGCAUUCUUUGGCCCAGGCAUCUUCUUGAGGCCCCCUUCUUCACUGCUUGGGGCCUCCCAGACAAAGCCUGGUCCUGUGUGCUCUGUAGCCAGCCAGGGCAUAGGAGCCUUUGGUAGGGCCCAGUCUUGUACUGACCAAACCUCACUUUCUUCUCUGAGCCUGGAGUCUCAGCUUCACUGGACACAGCCCUUCCAAUACCCGUGGCGCCCAUCUCACCCCAAGCUGCUGGAUACAGCUGUACCUGAACGCCAACCCUGGCGGACUCAGAAAAGCAUUCAAUAGGCUUGGCCAGGAACUUCCUGUUUUCCACUUCUGCUAGCCACUGUGACCUCACAGAUCCUUCUGUAUUCCACUCUCAUCUGGCAGCCCCAACCAGGUGUUCUCAGAAGAACGGACUGGGGGCCCAGCAUGCCAAUUCAGAGCCUCGAAGCCGGACACAGGCUCUUCCUCUCUCUUAUACCCUGUAUAAAGUGAUGCGUGAGCAUGCUUA